rnacentral:piRNA from 1 species
UGCAUGUACCGUCUGUUUGACCUGGAGAUG